rnacentral:rRNA from 1 species
CGUCUAUAUACGUAUAGCAUAUCAAUAAGCGGAGGAAAAGAAACUAACAAGGAUUCCCUAGUAACGGCGAGUGAAGCGGGAAGAGCUCAAAUUUGAAAUCUUCAAGGUUCUACCUUGACGAAUUGUAGUUUAAAGAAGUGUUUUCUGUUAGAGGAGUAGUCAAAAGUUCCUUGGAAUAGGGACAUCAUAGAGGGUGAGAAUCCCGUAUUUGACCAUUAUUCUUUCUAGCUGUGUGAUACACUUUCAAAGAGUCGGAUUGUUUGGGAAUGCAGUCCAAAAUGGGUGGUAAAUUUCAUCUAAAGCUAAAUAUUGGCGAGAGACCGAUAGCGAACAAGUACCGUGAGGGAAAGAUGAAAAGAACUUUGAAAAGAGAGUUAAACAGUACGUGAAAUUGUCAAAAGGGAAGCGUUUGACACCAGUGUUGUUUUUUCCGAAAAUCAAUUAAGAGUGGCUUGAUUUUGUGUUGUAUUGACCUUAUCAGCUUUCUUCACUCUUUUUUCGAGUCUUUCUUAAUGCACUUUUCGGUUAACAAGUCAACAUCAAUUUCUUUUGUUGUAAAAGGGUAUUUGGAAGGUGGCUUUCUUUUCGGAGAAAGUGUUUAUAGCCUUAUACCUCUACAAUCGGAGAGAUUGAGGUCUGCAGCGUAGAUCCUUCGGGGCUAGAUACACUUGUGCUAAGUUAUAGCUUUUCAUAGACAACUUGUUGACUAUGUUUAGUCAUGUAGCUUACUCGCUUGUGCUAUUUUACCUACGCUUAGGAUGUUGAGUCAUCACACAUCUC